AGAGUUUGAUCAUGGCUCAGGAUGAACGCUGGCGGCGUGCUUAACACAUGCAAGUCGAACGGAGUUUAUAUGAAACCUAGUGAUUAUAAACUUAGUGGCGGACGGGUGAGUAACGCGUGGGUAACCUGCCGUAUGCCGGGGGACAACAGUUGGAAACGACUGCUAAUACCGCAUAAGCGCACAGGAUCGCAUGAUUCAGUGUGAAAAACUCCGGUGGCAUACGAUGGACCCGCGUCUGAUUAGGCAGUUGGCGAGGUAACGGCUCACCAAACCGACGAUCAGUAGCCGGCCUGAGAGGGUGAACGGCCACAUUGGGACUGAGACACGGCCCAAACUCCUACGGGAGGCAGCAGUGGGGAAUAUUGCACAAUGGGGGAAACCCUGAUGCCAGCGACGCCGCGUGAGUGAAGAAGUAUUUCGGUAUGUAAAGCUCUAUCAGCAGGAAAGAAAAUGACGGUACCUGACUAAGAAGCCCCGGCUAACUACGUGCCAGCCGCAGC
rnacentral:rRNA from 1 species